rnacentral:lncRNA from 1 species
UAACUUUAAUAAAUCAUUUAUAAUGGCAUUGUUGUAAUAUUUAUAAAGUAUUUGGGUACUUACCUCCCAGUGAUCAAGAGCCACGUCGACCACUUUUGCAUGGAUUGUAUGGGCGCGUCACUUUACUCUGAUCCUACCAAAUUCAAUCUUAAAAAAUUGAUAAUUUUGGUGUUUGGCCGACCCGCUGUAGUCCAAACUCCUCACUCGUUUUCUUCUGCAGUUUUCCAUCGACCUUUAUUUCAAGUUCUUCCACCGCCUUAUUUUUCAUCAUUUGUUUGUGCGGUCCGACCUCGUCUAUUUGCUGUUCAGAGCUGUCUAAUUUAUCCCACCUGCUUGAUUUUUCCUCGCGAAUCUCCUUUCUCUCUCUCUCUUUUUUUUUAUUUUUUUAUUUUUUUUUUAUUUUUUUAUUUUAAAUAUAUUCUCGUACUUCAAUGAAUAAAAUCAUGAAAAGACUACAGGUCUCAAAUUUCUCUAAGAAAAGACAUGAAAGGUCCACACAUUAAUUGAAAAUUGAAAUUUUACUUGAGAUUCCCUAUUUCCAAGCUCUGUGGCGGAGAAACUCACAGUGACAUAUUAAAGUCUUUCAAAUCACCGCUGGCAUCCAGGUCGUGCAACUAGAUUACGGAUUCGAGGUUGCUUCCGCAACACAUUGCUGGUUCUAGGAAGAAAGGUAACGUUUCAAACACGGAUCCGACCUCGAUCACAGAUCUAAGCUCGAGCACGGAUCCGACCUCAAGGAGUAAUCUAACGCUGUGGUCGUCAGAUUUGCCGAGUUCCUUUCUGUCUUGCUAUUCCGACCAACUCGAGAGGAGAUGGGUGGCUGCUCAGAGAGGAGAUGGGUGGUGAUGAGGGAGUAAUGCUCCAGACAUCGAAUUCAAAGGACC